rnacentral:rRNA from 1 species
GAGCAGGAUGAAGCGAAAGUAAAAUUUCGUGGAGGUCCGAACCCACGAGCGUUGAAAAGCUCGGGGAUGACUUGUGGGUAGCGGAGCAAUUCCAAACGAGCCCGGAGGUAGCUGGUUCUCCCCGAAAUAGCUUUAGGGCUAGCCGCAAGGUGAGAGAUACGGAGGUAGAGCACUGAAUGUCCUAGGGGGUAUUGCACCUACCGAAGACAAUCAAACUCCGAAUGCCGUCAUCUUAGACUUGGGAGUCAGACUGUGGGGGAUAAGAUUCAUAGUCGAAAGGGCAACAGCCCAGAUCGUCAGAUAAGGUCCCUAAAUGUAAGUUAAGUGGUAAAGAAUGUGGGAUUGCACAGACAACCAGGAUGUUGGCUUAGAAGCAGCCACUCAUUCAAAGAGUGCGUAAUAGC